rnacentral:sRNA from 1 species
CAAGCAGGGUGUCAUUGACGGGCCAUUCACCCACAUCACCUGUAUGAGGUGGUCUGAGAGAAGAAGAAGGCCGCCCACCGCGAUUACGCCGUAUCCUCCAAAGCGGAGAGCGACCCGACGGAAUCUGGAGGAGCGGGAAAAGCUGGACAGAUUUGCGGAAACAGAUGAACCUGUGGAUGUUGUCUGGGAGAGAUCCGAAAAUGGGGUGAAGGAUUUCCCAUUUUUAGAUGAGAAUGAAGAUGCAGUGGAAGCUGGAGAAGACGACGAGGAGGGGUAGGAAGCGGUGUUGGAUCGGUCUUCGAGUAUUUUUGUGUACUCUGCGACAUCGAAUUUUUGGUUCUGGAGGUUGAUUUUUACAUGCGUCUCUGCUGAAGGGGCGUCAUAUGUGGGAUACGGAGGUUUGGAGGAUGUGGAAGGGGGAAUGACAGGAGAUUUCGUCUGUUUGCGCGGCUUUAUAAUUGUGCCUUUUCGACUGGGAGGGGGUUUAACCGGAGGAGGGGCCUGUUUAGGAGACAUGGCUAGCAGCACCGCCCGGGAGACCACGUGCGGUGGGAGGGUGUGCUAUUUCCUGUCUGCUUUUCAGCCCAUUGGUGGUAGAUUGGAGUUAACAGCCGAUUGAAGUGGUUAGCGUGUUAUACAAUUUCUGUAUUGGUGACGGCGUCUAGAAUCAUUCAGAGUGAUGGAGAGAAGAGGUUUCGAUAUCGGCAGGAAGUCGGUGAGGUGAUGUUUGUUCUGUUUGUUUUGUUAGGUAGAAUGUUACAAGGCAC